GCGGACGUGGCGGAACUGGUAGACGCAAGGGACUUAAAAUCCCUCGGGCAACGCCCGUGCGGGUUCGAUCCCCGCCGUCCGCACCA
rnacentral:tRNA from 1 species